UGGUGGGGUGACUUGUCUGGUUGAUUCCGAUAACGAACGAGACCGCCACCUGCUAAAUAGUCACCGGGCUCUCGCGAGCUUUCGCUUCGUGGCUUCUUAGAGGGACUGACCGUUUCUAGCGGUAGGAAGUUGGCGGCAAUAACA
rnacentral:rRNA from 1 species